UUGUUUCCAGCGGGGAAAAGUUCAAGUAUCGCCUCCUUGUGGAGGAUUCGCCAUAUUAGUUUUAGUGAUAUCCAAUGUAGUGGAGAAGGACGACUGCAUUAAUAUCAGUGUUGAAAUGAUCCGCCCCUCUGGCUCGUCAUCAUCGCCCCGCCUCUUAGGGUCGCCCUUCAGCCAGGCUCACGACGGGAGUUGGGAGAGUGAGAAGAGGUGCAUAAUUAAUAAGCCUCGUUUGGUCAGCGGUGACCGAAGCACACCUGAUGGGGAUAAUGCUUCAUCACCGCUGUCUUUAAAAUGCAGUGCGCACCUCUUCUCGGGGAGCCAGCUUCAAAUCUCCAUGUGUGCACAUACUGGUAUCCUCGCACGCCCAGGACCAGAGCUGGGAGAGAUCGGAUGAGUGGAUGUGCUGCCGGACCUGUUCUUCGGACCCCCGGACGCCGUAAUGAGUCGCUGGGAGUGAACUGCUCACGUUGCCGCCGACGGGCUAGAUGCCGGGCCGCCUUCCCCUCACGCUUGCCGUGGCCUGGGAAGACAAGCCGCCAGUGACCCGCCGCCCCACGCGCCAUGGACUUUGGAGGGGCUGGGCUUUCCUAUGAACACUACUCCGCCCCUUUCACGGAGCCCCGUUCACCACGAGAACGCCAGAUUCCCCCUUUAUUAUGAACACUAUUCCCCCUUGGACACUUUAUUACCCCUUUUGGACAUUUUACAUUUAUUAUUGUUUCCAAUAAAUGCCUCUCCAAGGCUUGACACCACACCCACUGUGUCUGUCUCUUGCUCAACCUGCCACAGUGGUGGAGAAUGCAGGCAUUUUUGUGGGCAAAUACGGCACAGCUGGGCACCAACAGUUACGUCACUCUUCCUCUCAUUCGCCAGUUCGAUGGAAAGCCUGGAGUGGGAUGGAGAAAACACGAGGACGGCCUCCCAGCUGCAGCAAAGGGUAAGUGGCACUUAAUAAGCAUUUACCCUGUGGCUGGCUGAGGCUGUCAUAUUAAUUUGUGUUUUUUCUCUGUUCCCACCUGGGUGCGAGUGAGAGGAGGAGUUGGCCCGGAGAGGUAUGUCCACUCCGACCGUAGGGCCUGGUUGAGGAAGUAGCACUCCUGUGUGGGCGACUAAAGAGUGUGCACUCUGGAUUCCAUGAUUGGAUGUGAGCGUGGGAGGUGCCGAUGGGGUGACGCUUGGUGGGGGGUGGGGGGGGAGAUGUGGCGGAAUGAUCUGCCCCUCUGGCUCGUCAUCGUUGCCCCGCCUCUUAGGGCCACCCUUCAGCCAGGCUCACGACUGGAGUUGGGUGGGAGAGCGAGAAGAGGUGCAUAAUUAAUAAGCCUCGUUUGGUCAGCGGUGAAUGAAGCACACCUGAUGGGGAUAAUGCUUCAUCACCGCUGUCUUUAAAACGCAGUUCGCACCUCUUCUUGGGGAGCCGGCUUCAAAUCUCCAUAUGUGCACACACUGGCAUCCUUGCACGCCCAGGACCAGAGCUGGGAGGGAUCGGAUGAGUAACCCUGCCACUCGUAAUGAGUCGCCGGGAGUGAACUGCUUACGUUGCCGCCGACGGGCUAGAUGCCGGGCCGCCUUCCCCUUACACUUGCCGCGGGCCUGGGAAGACGCGCCGUGGACUUUGGAGGGGAGCGUGAGCGGCCGACUGACCCAGCCCGUGCCUGGGCUUUCCUAUGAACACUACCCCGCCCCUUUCACGGAGCCCCGUUUACCGCGAGGAUGCCAGAUAACCCCCCUUUAUUAUGAACGCUAUUCCCCCUUGGACACUUUAUUCCCCCUUUUGGACAUUUUACGUUUAUCAUUGUUUCCAAUAAAUGCCUCUCCGAGGCUUGACACCA